rnacentral:rRNA from 1 species
UACGGAGGGUGCAAGCGUUAUCCGGAUUCACUGGGUUUAAAGGGUGCGUAGGAGGGCAGGUAAGUCCGUGGUGAAAUCUCUGAGCUUAACUCAGAAACUGCCGUGGAUACUACCGGUCUUGAAUAUCGUGGAGGUGAGCGGAAUAUGUCAUGUAGCGGUGAAAUGUGUAGAUAUGGGGAGGAACACCGGUGGCGAAGGCGGCCAUCUGGACGGUAACUGACGCUGAGACGCGAAAGCGUGGGGAGCAAACAGG